rnacentral:rRNA from 1 species
CCUACGGGAGGCAGCAGUGAGGAAUAUUGGUCAAUGGACGAGAGUCUGAACCAGCCAAGCAGCGUGAAGGAUGACUGCUUUAUGGGCUGUAAACUUUGUUUAUAUGGGAAUAAAACAGGGUAUGCAUACCCUCUUGUAUGUACCAUAUGAAUAAGGAUCGGCUAACUCCGAGCCAGCAGCCGCGGUAAUACGGAGGAUCCGAGCGUUAUCCGGAUUUAUUGGGUUUAAAGGUAGAGUAGGUGGAUUGUUAAGUCAGUUGUGAAAGUUUGGGGCUCAACCGUAAAAUUGCAGUUGAAACUGGCAAUCUUGAGUACAGUAGAGGUGAGCGGAAUUCGUGGUGUAGCGGUGAAAUGCUUAGAUAUCACGAAGAACUCCAGUUGCGAAGGCAGCUCACUGGACUGCAACUGACGCUGAUGCUCGAAAGUGUGGGUAUCAAACAGGAUUAGAUACCCGGGUAGUC